rnacentral:rRNA from 1 species
CUACGGGCCGCUGCAGUGAGGAAUAUUGGUCAAUGGGCGAAAGCCUGAACCAGCCAUGCCGCGUGAAGGAUGACAGCGCUACGCGUUGUAAACUUCUUUUGUACGGGAAGAAACACUUCUACGUGUAGAAGCUUGACGGUACCGUACGAAUAAGCAUCGGCUAACUCCGUGCCAGCAGCCGCGGUAAUACGGAGGAUGCAAGCGUUAUCCGGAUUUAUUGGGUUUAAAGGGUACGUAGGCGGAAAAGUAAGUCAGUGGUGAAAUCCCGCAGCUCAACUGUGGAACUGUCAUUGAUACUGGUUUUCUUGAAUGUAGUUGAGGUAGGCGGAAUGUGUAAUGUAGCGGUGAAAUGCUUAGAUAUUACACAGAACACCGAUUGCGAAGGCAGCUUACUAAGCUAUGAUUGACGCUGAGGUACGAAAGCGUGGGGAGCGAACAGGAUUAGAUACCCGAGUAGUC